GGCAUAAACUUGAAGCGGAGUAGAUUAGUAUGGUCAGAUGAUCAUUCUGCUCUACUCUACUUCAAAUUUGGGCCC
rfam:Haemonchus placei strain MHpl1 genome assembly, scaffold: HPLM_scaffold0000388